rnacentral:misc_RNA from 1 species
GUGAAUCAUCAAAUUUUUGAACGCAUAUUGCACUCUCUUCGGAGAGUAUGCCCGUUUGAGGGUCAGCCUAAAAAAAAUCGACAUAGUGCUUGUUUCUCGUUGACAUUCGUCGGAAAUUGGGUCAUCUUAAACCUUUGGGUUUUAAGCGGUUUAAAUUUUUCUUUACGAUUCCACGAACGUUUCUAAGAUUUACUUCUUUUACUUUUAAGGUAUCUAUCUUAAUUAGACUUGGCCGUUGAAUCGGA